UACGUAGGGCGCAAGCGUUGUCCGGAAUUAUUGGGCGUAAAGAGCUCGUAGGCGGUUUGUCGCGUCUGCUGUGAAAACCUAAGGCUCAACCUUGGGCUUGCAGUGGGUACGGGCAGACUAGAGUGCGGUAGGGGUGACUGGAAUUCCUGGUGUAGCGGUGGAAUGCGCAGAUAUCAGGGGGAACACCGAUGGCGAAGGCAGGUCACUGGGCCGCAACUGACGCUGAGGAGCGAAAGCAUGGGGAGCGAACAGG
rnacentral:rRNA from 1 species